UGUGCCCGUGCGCAUGCGCACUGGGAAAGAAAAUGGACUCAAUGGGAGGACUUGCGCAGAUACCAGGACCCUCUGCUCUGAGCCACAAUGAAGAACUUUCCCAGACUAGGCAAGCCCAGGGCUCAUUGGAAAUAUGCUAAUGACCCUGCCAGACUCCAGCAUGAUGAGCAAUUUGGAACGCUGCCCUCUUGCCCACUGUGAUGGAGUGAUGAUUUUAUCCCUUCCUUCCCUGGACCCCUAAGGCAAGAACUGAGCUUCACUCUGCUAGAAGGUCAAUCGUUGUUUAGAAAUGUUCCCCGUGUUCACAAGCAGAGAAGUGUGGGAUUCUGAAUUGAUUAUACACAGUGAAGACAUAAUAACCUUUUCGGAAAGGAAAUUGCUCAAAAGGAGUAAGGGAUUUAGUGCUGUAAAACAUUCAUGUAAGUUAACUGGAAGUGUAAAUCAAGAACCAGCAAAAAUAAACUGCUACAGUGCUGCUUCCCUGAUUGAAAUAUCAUCAUUAAUGUAGAAUUGACUUAAAUAAUUUUUACGAUCUUUCUUCUCUCAGGUCCCAAAGCAAUGGAGCUAAUCAACCACGGACUGCCAAUUCUGAAACCAG
ensembl:lncRNA